rnacentral:rRNA from 1 species
GACGAACGCUGGCGGCGUGCUUAACACAUGCAAGUCGAACGGAAAGGCCCUGCUUUUGUGGGGUGCUCGAGUGGCGAACGGGUGAGUAACACGUGAGUAACCUGCCCUUGACUUUGUGAUAACUUCAGGAAACUGGGGCUAAUAUCGGAUAGGAGCUCCUGCUGCAUGGUGGGGGUUGGAAAGUUUCGGCGGUUGGGGAUGGACUCGCGGCUUAUCAGCUUGUUGGUGGGGUAGUGGCUUACCAAGGCUUUGACGGGUAGCCGGCCUGAGAGGGUGACCGGCGACAUUGGGACUGAGAUACGGCCCAGACUCCUACGGGAGGCAGCAGUGGGGAAUAUUGCACAAUGGGCGGAAGCCUGAUGCAGAAACGCCGCGUGCGGGAUGACGGCCUUCGGGUUGUAAACCGCUUUCGCCGGUGACGAAGCGUGAGUGACGGUAAUGGGUAAAGAAGCACCGGCUAACUACGUG